UAAGGAAUAUUGGUCAAUGGGCGGAAGCCUGAACCAGCCAUGCCGCGUGCAGGAAGACGGCCCUAUGGGUUGUAAACUGCUUUUGCAGGGGAAUAAACCUCAUUACGUGUAAUGAGCUGAAUGUACUCUGAGAAUAAGGAUCGGCUAACUCCGUGCCAGCAGCCGCGGUAAUACGGAGGAUCCAAGCGUUAUCCGGAUUUAUUGGGUUUAAAGGGUGCGUAGGUGGCUUUUUAAGUCAGGGGUGAAAGACGGUAGCUUAACUAUCGCAGUGCCUUUGAUACUGAAGAGCUUGAAUGAACUAGAGGUAGGCGGAAUGUGACAAGUAGCGGUGAAAUGCAUAGAUAUGUCACAGAACACCAAUUGCGAAGGCAGCUUACUAUGGUUUAUUGACACUGAGGCACGAAAGCGUGGGGAUCAAACAGGUAUUAGAUACCCUGGUAGUCCACGCCCUAAACGAU
rnacentral:rRNA from 1 species